rnacentral:rRNA from 1 species
CAAAAACAUGUCCUCUUGAGGUAAAAUAGGAGGUCUGACCUGCCCAGNGAUGAAUUAGUUUAACGGCCGCGGUAUACNGACCGUGCAAAGGUAGCAUAAUCAUUAGUCUUUUAAAAGAGGGCUGGAAUGAAGGGUUUGNCGAAGUGUUAGCUGUCUCAUUUUAUUUGGUUUNNAGAAUUNAACUUUUUAGUCAAAAGGCUAAAAUUUAAUUGGAAGACGAGAAGACCCUAUAGAGCUUUAUAUUUAUUUUUUUGAUAAUUUUAUAUAAUUUAUUAUUAUGGGAAUAUAAUAUUUUGUUGGGGNGACAAAAAUAUAUAAUAAACUUUUUUAUUUAUAUNACAUUGAUAUAUGAUUAUUAGAUCCAUUAUUAUUGAUUGUUAGAUUAAGUUNCCUUAGGGAUAACAGCGUAAUCCUCCCCCAGAGUUCAUAUUUACGGGUAGGGCUUGCGACCUCGAUGUUGGAAUAAGAUAAUACUUAGGUG